rnacentral:snoRNA from 1 species
GUGCAGAUGCAAGAAAAAAGGGUCCUCGUGCUAUCUGUCUGAUUGUGGCAGCCAAGAUUGAAUGGAGGAAUACAGUG